rnacentral:rRNA from 1 species
GUGGGGAAUCUUGCACAAUGGGGGAAACCCUGAUGCAGCGACGCCGCGUGAGCGAUGAAGCCCUUCGGGGUGUAAAGCUCUUUCGGCAGGAACGAUAAUGACGGUACCUGUAGAAGCAGCUGCGGCUAACUACGUGCCAGCAGCCGCGGUAAUACGUAGGCAGCAAGCGUUGUUCGGAGUUACUGGGCGUAAAGGGUGCGUAGGCGGUUGUCUAAGUUUGGUGUGAAAUCUCCCGGCUCAACUGGGAGGGUGCGCCAGAUACUGGAUGGCUAGAGUGCGGGAGGGGAGAGUGGAAUUCCUGGUGUAGCGGUGAAAUGCGUAGAUAUCAGGAGGAACACCUGUGGUGCAGACGGCUCUCUGGACCGUAACUGACGCUGAUGCACGAAAGCGUGGGGAGCAAACAGGAUUAGAAACCCUGGUAGUCC